ACCAAGGCGACGAUCCGUAGCGGGUCUGAGAGGAUGAUCCGCCACACUGGGACUGAGACACGGCCCAGACUCCUACGGGAGGCAGCAGUGGGGAAUUUUGGACAAUGGGCGCAAGCCUGAUCCAGCCAUGCCGCGUGAGUGAAGAAGGCCUUCGGGUUGUAAAGCUCUUUCGGCCGGGAAGAAAUCGUGUUCUCUAACAUAGGACAUGGAUGACGGUACCGGACUAAGAAGCACCGGCUAACUACGUGCCAGCAGCCGCGGUAAUACGUAGGGUGCGAGCGUUAAUCGGAAUUACUGGGCGUAAAGCGUGCGCAGGCGGUUUGCUAAGACAGGUGUGAAAUCCCCGGGCUUAACCUGGGAACUGCGCUUGUGACUGGCAGGCUAGAGUACGGCAGAGGGGGGUGGAAUUCCUGGUGUAGCAGUGAAAUGCGUAGAGAUCAGGAGGAACACCGAUGGCGAAGGCAGCCCCCUGGGCCUGUACUGACGCUCAUGCACGAAAGCGUGGGGAGC
rnacentral:rRNA from 1 species